ACACAUGCAAGUCGAGGGGCAGCAUGGUCUUAGCUUGCUAAGGCCGAUGGCGACCGGCGCACGGGUGAGUAACGCGUAUCCAACCUGCCUUACACUCUUGGACAGCCUUCUGAAAGGGAGAUUAAUACAAGAUGUUAUCAUGAGUAAGCAUUUUCGCAUGAUUAAAGGUUUACCGGUGUAAGAUGGGGAUGCGUUCCAUUAGAUAGUAGGCGGGGUAACGGCCCACCUAGUCUUCGAUGGAUAGGGGUUCUGAGAGGAAGGUCCCCCACAUUGGAACUGAGACACGGUCCAAACUCCUACGGGAGGCAGCAGUGAGGAAUAUUGGUCAAUGGACGAGAGUCUGAACCAGCCAAGUAGCGUGAAGGAUGAAGGUUCUAUGGAUUGUAAACUUCUUUUAUACGGGAAUAAACGAAUCCACGCGUGGAUUUUUGCAUGUACCGUAUGAAUAAGGAUCGGCUAACUCCGUGCCAGCAGCCGCGGUAAUACGGAGGAUCCGAGCGUUAUCCGGAUUUAUUGGGUUUAAAGGGAGCGUAGAUGGGUUGUUAAGUCAGUUGUGAAAGUUUGCGGCUCAACCGUAAAAUUGCAAUUGAUACUGGCAGUCUUGAGUACAGUUGAGGUAGGCGGAAUUCGUGGUGUAGCGGUGAAAUGCUUAGAUAUCACGAAGAACUCCGAUUGCGAAGGCAGCUUACUAACCUGUAACUGACAUUGAUGCUCGAAAGUGUGGGUAUCAAACAGGAUUAGAUACCCUGGUAGUCCACACGGUAAACGAUGAAUACUCGCUGUAGGCGAUAUACAGUCUGCGGCCAAGCGAAAGCAUUAAGUAUUCCACCUGGGGAGUACGCCGGCAACGGUGAAACUCAAAGGAAUUGACGGGGGCCCGCACAAGCGGAGGAACAUGUGGUUUAAUUCGAUGAUACGCGAGGAACCUUACCCGGGCUUAAAUUGCAACCGAAUAUGGCGGAAACGCUAUAGCUAGCAAUAGCGGUUGUGAAGGUGCUGCAUGGUUGUCGUCAGCUCGUGCCGUGAGGUGUCGGCUUAAGUGCCAUAACGAGCGCAACCCUUGCCGAUAGUUACUAACAGGUUAUGCUGAGGACUCUGUCGGGACUGCCAUCGUAAGAUGUGAGGAAGGUGGGGAUGACGUCAAAUCAGCACGGCCCUUACGUCCGGGGCUACACACGUGUUACAAUGGGGGGUACAGAGGGCUGCUACCACGCAAGUGGAUGCCAAUCCCAAAAACCUCUCUCAGUUCGGAUUGAAGUCUGCAACCCGACUUCAUGAAGCUGGAUUCGCUAGUAAUCGCGCAUCAGCCACGGCGCGGUGAAUACGUUCCCGGGCCUUGUACACACCGCCCGUCAAGCCAUGGGAGCCGGGGGUACCUGAAGUGCGUAACCGCAAGGAGCGCCCUAGGGUAAAACUGGUGACUGGGGCUAAGAC
rnacentral:rRNA from 1 species